CCAUGCUAAUUUAUUUUUAGACAAAAUUCAGAUUCUGUCCCUCAGGAAACACUUGACAAUACCUAGAGAUAGUUUGGUUGUCAAAAGUUGCGGUGGUGUUUGUGCCACUGGCAUCAAAUGGGUAGAAACCAUGGGUGUGGCUGAACAUCCUGUAAUGCAUGGGACAGCCCCCACAACAAAGAAUUAUUCAGCCCCAAAUCUUAACAGUGUUGAAGUUGGAAAACUCCACUGUAGGCAAUUAAAAAAAAAACCUUACUAGGAGCAAAUUGAGUUUAAAGGGAAGAAGAAGAAAAUACAAAAUAUUCCUACAAACUGAUCCCAUCUGACAUCCAGAAGGAAGAAACAGCUAGACAACCUGCUGGAACACAGGUGUUUGCCUGCCACCCAGGAGGUAUUUCAAUAACUGGGUUGUUCAGCAGAGCAGUCUGGAACAGGAAGUACAUCUCUACUCUUCCGUACUCAUUUUUUUAAGCAAAUGAAUGUAUUACUUUUGCGAUAACCAUUUUAGUACAAAUAUUGGCAUAUUAUGGAGUAGAAUACUGAGUAGUAAGCAUUGGCACCGACAAAGCUGAGAAGCCCCAGUGGAAGUGCCAUGUAUUUCUGGUGAACAGUGUGCACUUGCACCUGUGUCAGUGUCUUCUCCCAUCACCCAGACGCCUCUGCUGUCAUCACAAGCCCAAAUAUGCUAAUGUAAGACACAAGAGCUAAAACAGGUGACUCUUAUUACUAGGGGAGGAGCUGGGGAGCGAUUGGUUGCUCUGCUUCUCUAUUUUAAAAUUCAAUAGAGUCUUCCAUUUUGAGUAUUGGGAGAAAAAUCUUUGUCAGGAGGGUUUUUGGGUGCUGAUUUGAAAGUGUCUUUAGUAUAUUUCUCAUCAUUGUAUAUUGCAGGAGAACUGUCAUCCAUCUGCAGUGCUUCCCAAGUAACUGUCUGGGGCUUAUGGUGAUGUAUCCCCACUGCUGAGAUGGAAGGGAGUCCUCAGAUACCUGGCAGAUCAACUGUGCUAGUUAUAGCUGUCAUGUACUGAGCAUACUCUCCCAUCCUCCUCUUUCUCCUUUGGGAACCUGCUCCUCUACUUCAUGUGAUCUUGGUGGGGCUGUCCAUGAAGGUGACUUGUGCCUCCUCCUGCCCUUGCACAUGGGCAGUGACCUGCAGUGGGCCAGCUGUAGUAUUACAUUCCUCCAUUUACAGUGGCUGGUUUAGGGAAGGGCAAUUUAUAACUAGUAGCAGACUGUUUUUAGUUUCUUUCUUUAUAGUAGAUACUUUUUCUCCUAUAAAGAAGGGAAGAAUAUCAAAUUUUCCCAAAUAUCUAUAGGGAAUUUAGUAAUGCACCAUGCAGCAAGGAAGGAGGGCUCAUGUUAAAGUGUAAAUGGGCCUUCUGAGUACACAGAAAUCAACCAGUGUUACUUUCAGAAUGUGGCUCUUGCUAAGCCCUGGAUAUGAGAUCACAAAAGGCUCAGGUGAGCUGAUUCCCAUUAGACCAGGUAGGAGCUGAUUAUUGUGUGGUGCAAUGAUAUGGGUAUCUUGGGUAAGGCCUUGUGAGAGUCUCAGGGCCAAGGCCUUGGUUGCAGCCUUGCAAGAGACCCUGAAGCUGGUAAUGAACGCCCAGCUAAGCCAUGCCUGGCUUCAUGACCCCACAGACUGUGAAAUAAUAAAUGUGUGUUGUUGGGAGUAAUUUCUUAUUCAGCAAUAGAUAACUUAUAUACACCCUGAUCUCUUUGUUCCUUACCAAGGUCCCUUACUCAUCAGAACCAAAUUCCAUGCUAUUUCCAGACCACACUGUGUGCUUUCUUGCUUUCAUAAUUUGUUCAAGGACGGGAGCUGGUGCCAUGUCCUACCCUGACUCAGGGAGUGAUUCAGACUGAGAGUUGGCUAAAUCUAGAAGGAUUUUUGGAUUGCAUUAUAACCUUUUAGGUAUUCAUCUUAUCCUUUAGCUAAGAAUAGAUCUGGACCAUGAACAAGCCCUUCUGAAAUCAUCCUCCUCCACUAGAGUUCUGAGCUUUCUUUCCAUGUCCAAUCUAGACAGUAGGGAUCACUGCACGUUGAACUUUCCUCGUUCUUUCUUCUGCCCAGUUUGGCAUUUAUUUCUUAAUAAUCCGUUUUUAAAAAUGUAUGUGGCCUCCCUAAUCAGCAAAACAAAGGCUUACUGUCCUUUUAUGCAUGCUAGAAAGUACUAAUGAGUUCUUGGGGGUUUAUCACUGACUCUGGAACAGAAGUAGAAGCCAGUAUAUCUGGAGUCAGUAAAAACAGGUUUUGCCAAGGUACUUCAGCUGCAAGGGAACCUUUAAAUAUUCCACACAUCCAGCGCUGCAUCUGUCCUGGGGAAUUUGAGGAUGAGCUGAUGCCCUGCAUAGGAUGCCUGGUGCACACUCUUCUAUUCCAUGUCCUGGAACCUUGCGGGUGGGCCCUGCGCAGUCCUUUUAGAUGUGUCACCUCGGGUGGUCUGCCAUCUGAGGGUCUUCUCUCUGCCUAGGGAUAAUAAAUAAAAGGAGAUCACACUUUCUUUCUUAGACUCAUUUCUCCAUGAACCCCAUCACAGGUUCACAAAAAUGGUUGGGAGAGUCUACAGAAAAUCUCCCUUGUAGUGAAUUGCUGGAGGAGAGGAAAAGAAACUGCUGUGAGAGGGGUGAGAAAUUCUACCUGGACCCUUCUUGCCUACCUCCCCUAUGAACAAAAGCCUUAAUUAGUGUGACAUGUAUGUAGAAGGGAGCAAACAUUAUCACUCUUUGGAUACUGGUGAAAUCCCAUUACAUCUGAGAUAAGGGAACAGGGAAAAAA
rnacentral:lncRNA from 1 species